AUUGAACGCUGGCGGCAUGCCUUACACAUGCAAGUCGAACGGUAACAGGUCUUCGGAUGCUGACGAGUGGCGAACGGGUGAGUAAUACAUCGGGACGUGCCUAGUAGUGGGGGAUAACUACUCGAAAGAGUGGCUAAUACCGCAUGAGAUCUACGGAUGAAAGCAGGGGAUGGCAAGGCCUUGUGCUACUAGAGCGGCGGAUGGCAGAUUAGGUAGUUGGUGGGAUAUAAGCUUACCAAGCCGAGGAUCUGUAGCUGGUCUGAGAGGACGAUCAGCCACACUGGGACUGAGACACGGCCCAGACUCCUACGGGAGGCAGCAGUGGGGAAUUUUGGACAAUGGGCGAAAGCCUGAUCCAGCAAUGCCGCGUGCAGGAUGAAGGCCUUCGGGUUGUAAACUGCUUUUGUACGGAACGAAAAGCCCCGGGUUAAUACCCUGGGGUCAUGACGGUACCGUAAGAAUAAGCACCGGCUAACUACGUGCCAGCCGCCGCCGUAA
rnacentral:rRNA from 1 species